rnacentral:rRNA from 1 species
AUUGAACGCUGGCGGCAGGCCUAACACAUGCAAGUCGGGCGAGCGGCGGACGGGUGAGUAAUGCUUGUGAAUCUAGCUUAUGGAGGGGGAUACCUACGGGAAACUGUAGCUAAUACCGCGUACCAUAGGAUGAGCCCAAGUGGGAUUGGGUAGUUGUUGAAGUAAAGGCUCACCAAGCCGACGAUCUCUAGCUGGUCUGAGAGGAUGACCAGCCACACUGGGACUGAGACACGGCCCAGACUCCGACGGGAGGCAGCAGUGGGGAAUAUUGCGCAAUGGGGGCAACCCUGACGCAGCCAUGCCGCGUGUAUGAAGAAGGCCCUAGGGUUGUAAAGUACUUUCAGUCGGGAGGCGUUACCGACAGAAGAAGCACCGGCUAACUCCGUGCCAGCAGCCGCGGUAAUUC